rnacentral:rRNA from 1 species
GAUGAACGCUGGCGGCGUGCCUAAUACAUGCAAGUCGAGCGAACAGACGAGGAGCUUGCUCCUCUGACGUUAGCGGCGGACGUGUGAGUAACACGUGUAUAACCUACCUAUAAGACUGGGAUAACUUCGGGACACCGGAGCUAAUACCGUAUAACAUGCUGAACCACAUGGUUCAACAGUGAAAGACGGUCGUGCGGUCACUUAUAGAUGGAUCCGCGCCGCAUUAGCUAGUUGGGAAGGUAACGGCUUACCAAGGCAACGAUGCGUGGCCGACCUGAGAGGGUGAUAGGCCACAUUGGAACUGAGACACGGUCCAGACUCCUACGGGAGGCAGCAGUAGGGAAUCUUACGCAAUGGGCGAAAGCCUGACGGAGCAACGCCGCGUGAGUGAAGAAGGUCUUCGGAUCGUAAAACUCUGUUAUUAGGGAAGAACAAAUGUGUAAGUAACUAUGCACGUCUUGACGGUACCUAAUAAGAAAGCCACGGCUAACUACGUG